CCAUCGGAUGUGCCCAGAUGGGAUUAGCUAGUAGGUGGGGUAACGGCUCACCUAGGCGACGAUCCCUAGCUGGUCUGAGAGGAUGACCAGCCACACUGGAACUGAGACACGGUCCAGACUCCUACGGGAGGCAGCAGUGGGGAAUAUUGCACAAUGGGCGCAAGCCUGAUGCAGCCAUGCCGCGUGUAUGAAGAAGGCCUUCGGGUUGUAAAGUACUUUCAGCGAGGAGGAAGG
rnacentral:rRNA from 1 species